rnacentral:rRNA from 1 species
AAAGGUGGCCUCAAGCUACCGCUGAAGGAUGAGCCUGUGUCCUAUUAGUUAGUUGGCAGGGUAAUGGCCUACCAAGCAAAGAUGGGUAUCCGGCCUGGAGAGGGUGUACGGACACACUGGAACUGAAACACGGUCCAGACUCCUACGGGAGGCAGCAGUGGGGAAUAUUGCACAAUGGGCGCAAGCCUGACGCAGCGACGCCGCGUGGAGGAUGACGGUCUUCGGAUUGUAAACUCCUGUUAAGUGGGAAGAAAGACCAGUAUCUAAUACAUGCUGGGGAUGACGGUACCACUAGAGAAAGCACCGGCAAACUUCGUG